GCUGACUUAAUAGCAGCAUACCGAAAUCAAAAUGAACGUUCGACCCACAAUUGCAAAGAAAACUGCGAAGAUUUGCUAACAGACAUUCUCAAAGAAACAAAAUAUGUAAACAUUUACUCUCAAUCAAAAACGACCGACAUACAGUAUGCCAUUCUAUUAGCUCUCAAGAAAGCACAUCAUAGCUCUUCGAAAUCGCCGCUAUCUCUUGCUUGGAGAUGGAACAAACUCGAUUUUGCUCAAAAUGAGAUACAGUUUCCAGAUCCGAUGUCUGCAUGCGAUGAAACCGAAUGUGUGACCAAUGUAAGCAAUUGUGUUAUGCAGUAACAAUACAAAUUAUUAAAUGGUUUCAAUAUAAAAUUCGCACAUAAGGAACAAAACACAAUUAAGUAAUGCGUAAAUUUUGGAAAUCA